GGGAAUGUGACUCAGUGCUAGAGUGCUUGCCUGGCAUGCAUGAGGCCCUGGGUUCAAGCCUCAGCACUGUUA
rfam:Ictidomys tridecemlineatus contig072270, whole genome shotgun sequence.